rnacentral:rRNA from 1 species
CGCCAAAUAGCUAGCCCUAACCCCAACCCCAACAAUACACAAUUUAUAACCCCUAAUACACCACAAACACCAAAUCAAAUCAUUUUAUUUUCCCCAGUAUAGGCGAUAGAAAAGGAAC